GACGAACGCUGGCGGCGUGCUUAACACAUGCAAGUCGAACGGAGUGGCGAACGGGUGAGUAACACGUGGGUGAUAUGCCUUGCACUUCGGAUAAGCUUGGGAAACUGGGUCUAAUAACGGAUAGUGCAAGAUGAGCUCGCGGCCUAUCAGAUUGUUGGUGGGGUAAUGGCCUACCAAGGCGUCGACGGGUAGCCGGCCUGAGAGGGUGGACGGCCACAUUGGGACUGUGAUACGGGCCAGACGCCUACGGGAGGCAGCGGGGGGGAAUAUUGCACACUGGGCGGAAGCCUGAUGCAGCGACGCCGCGUGGGGGAUGAAGGCCUUCGGGUUGUAAACUCCUUUCGCCAGGAACGCGGUACCUGUAUAAGAAGCACCGGCUAACUACGUGCCAGCAGCCGCGGUAAUUC
rnacentral:rRNA from 1 species